rnacentral:lncRNA from 1 species
AGCAACCAACAGUGGGGCCAGACAUCUUCCAAGGUCAUUUUGAGAGUCAUUGAAAUCUAAUUUGACAUCUCCUGUGUAAUUUGGAGUUAGAGUGGAAUUUUCUGCAUAUUUAUUUAAAUUCAACAAAUAUUUUUGAAGGAAAAGAGAGAGAAAGUUAUCACCCAAACUGGAUCACGGAGACAUACAUGUGAAAAGGUGCUUCAAGCAGAGGAUUUGCGUAUGGUCCUAAUCCCCCACUGCGUGUACGUGAAGCUAUCUGCCAGGUGAAAGCACAUGGAGGAUGGAGGAAUACAGUGAAAAGGAAAUGAGAACACAGUAGCCCCCUGUUGGAAACCCAGCUGUAAUUUCUAGCAUUCAGAUACAUCAUGGGGCACAUCACGACCUUGAACCAUAAACAUAUAUGCAGU